rnacentral:rRNA from 1 species
UACGUAGGGACCGAGCGUUGUCCGGAAUCAUUGGGCGUAAAGAGCGUGUAGGCGGCCACUUAAGUCCUGCGUGAAAUCUUGCGGCUCAACCGCAAGCGGUCGUGGGAAACUGGGUGGCUAGAGUGCGGGAGAGGAGAGUGGAAUUCCUGGUGUAGCGGUGGAAUGCGCAGAUAUCAGGAAGAACACCCGUGGCGAAGGCGGCUCUCUGGAACGCAACUGACGCUGAGACGCGAAAGCGUGGGGAGCAAACAAG